UGAUUGUGAGUGCAAAAAAUA
rnacentral:piRNA from 1 species